rnacentral:lncRNA from 1 species
CCCUAUCUCAUCUUCCAUCCUCGCGAACUCUGCGGCGAACCUGAGCUCGGUAUUCUCCUGCUGUAGUCUUCCAACUUCCUUCUGAUGAAUCUUCAUCUGCCUGAAGUAGUGGUCUCUCUCAGCUAGGUAAUGAUCUCUCUCAGCCCUGAUCUUUGCCUUCUCCGCUUCCCACUCUGCAGCAAGAACUCUGGCUCUGUCAUCUCUCUGAUCCUU